rnacentral:rRNA from 1 species
UACAGAGGCCCCAAGCAUUAUCCGGAAUCACUGGGCGUAAAGGGUGUGUAGGCGGUCGUGUUAGUCUCUUGUGAAAGGUCUUGGGCUUAACCCAGGAACCGCAGGAGAAACGGCACGACUUAGAGGUUGCGAGAGGUAAAGGGAACUCAUAGUGUAGGGGUGAAAUCCGUUGAUAUUAUGGGGAACACCAAAUGCGAAGGCACUUUACUGGCGCACACCUGACGCUGAGACACGAAAGCGUGGGAAUCGA